AGGUGGUUCGCACGGCCGCUAAAGACGGAACGAGAAGCUUCUUAAGGAAAACUCUAAGCUUUUGAGGUUGAGCGUGGACGGGAGACGGAGGAUGUUGAGCAUUGGACCGAGACCAUAUUCAAUAAACGUUCCGGUUGCUAUUGUGUCUUCAUACAUAGUAGUAGCCAACUCUCAAAUGCUUCCGCUAUGCCAAGUUUUAAAACUCUGAUGUUUCUGUAUUCUGUUGGACUAUUUUCAUAUGAACUUGAUACUUCGUGAUUUCAACUAUUAGCUGGUAAUAAAGUUUCACCUUUUGAUCUA